GCGUCCGUCGUCUAGCGGCCUAGGACUCCGCAUCCCUCGGGAGCGGCUAUCGCCAGUUCGAAUCUGGCCGGAUGCGC
rnacentral:tRNA from 1 species